rnacentral:lncRNA from 1 species
UGUAAGAGCUCUUUGUAGAUUUAAGAAAAUUUACCUUUUGUUAUAUGUAUUAUAAAGAUACAUAUCUAUGUUAGCUGUAUUUUGUUUAAUUUUUUUUUGUUGUUAAUGUUGAAGUAAUCAUUUAAAGGAUUUUUUUUUCCCCCCAGUGUUUUGGCUUCUAGAUUUUGGUCCUUAGAAAGCCUUUCCUAUGUCUGUGUUAUUACAAAACAAAAAUUCCCAUUUUCGUAUGGAUUUUUAUGACUUUAUAUACUUUUAUCUAUAUAUUUCAUUUAUUGUUGUUCCUUUGUGUGUAAAGAGUGAGCUAUUUAUGUACUACCUUUUUUUUUUAGAAGAAAUAUGUUUAAAGAUGCUGGUAUUUAAUAUAUUAGAUUACAUUUAUCUUAAUGUGUAAUUUUAUUGUCAAAUUAUAUUGUGUGAUUUGUUUAUACCUCUAACAUAUAUUUCUAUAGUCAGAACAUUUAAAUUCACAUUUAAUAAAAUAGAAAAAAAUGAUAUAUACUCUGGCCAAGAGGUUAUCAAACUUUAGUAUGUAUUAGAAUCACAUAAGGUGUUUUAUAAAAAUGAGGAUUCCAAGCCCUGCCCAAAGGACCGAUUCAGUGGGUUUAGCGUGGAGACCAUUAUCCUACGUUGUUCAUGCCAAAUACUCCUUGUUAAAGGUGAUUUUGGAAACAUUGGUUCUAUAUUUUGAGAAACUCUGACCUGGCUUAUAGGAAUAAAAUCAUUGUGAAUUAAUUGUUAUUUUUAGUAAGGUUUAUUGAGGUAUUAUUUACGUACAGUAAAAUUCAGUAUAUAGUUUUAUGAGUUUUUACAGUGCAUAGUAUUGUAAUCACCAGCAUGAUCAAGAUACAGAAUUUUAUUAUCCUAGAAAAUUUCCAUUUACCAUUUUAUAAUUACCCUAUCCCAUUGCCAGCCCCUGAUAAUUACUGAUCUCUUUUCUGUCUCUACAGUUAAGAAUGCUGGCUUCUUUUACUUAGCAUAAUGCAUUUGAGAUUUAUCCAUGUAUUAGUAGUUUAUUCCUUUUUACUGUAUUACAGUACUCCAUUAUGCAUUUUAUAUAUUUAUCAGUGGAAUUAUUUACAGUUUUGGAGAUUGUGAAUAAACCUGCUAUAAGCAUUUGCCUAUAGAUUUCUGUGGGAAAAUAAAUUUUUAUUUAUCUUGGAUAAAUACAUAGGAAUGGGAUUUACUGAGUCAAAGGUUAAGUGUAUAUUUAACUUUGGAAGAAACUGUCAGAUUCUUUUCCAAAAAUUGCCUCUCAUUGUUGUGAGUACUUUGUAUUGUGAGUCUCUUUAUUAUUGUUAGCCAUUCUAAUAGAUACAUAGUAGUAUCUCAUUGUGGUGGUUCUAUUUUGCAUUCCCUGAUGACAAGUGAUGUUGAGCAUCUUUUCCUAUGUUUAUUUGUCAUAUGUAUUUUUUGAAUUAGCUGCUCAAAUCCCUUGCCCAUUUAAAAAUUUUUGUUUUUUUUGAAUUAUUAAAUUGUGAUAGUUCUUUACAUAUUUUGGACAUAGGUCUUUUAUAAUCUAUACAUUUGCAAUUAUUUUCUCUAUCUGUGGCUUGUCUUUCCAGUGAUUUAACAGUAUCUUUUGAAGAAUUGAUGUUGUUAAUCUGGAAGUACAAUUUACUAAUUUUGUCUUUUAUGGUUCAUGCAUUUGGUAUUUUGUUUAAGAAAUGUUUGCCUAAUCCAACAUCACAAAGAUUUUCUCUUAAGUUUUCUUCCAAAACUAUUAUAGCUUUACUUUAUUUGUACUUUUAAGUCUGUAAUUGAUUUUGAGUUAAAUCCUAUAUAUGCUGUGAGGUAUAAGUUGAAGUCUACUUUUUUCCAUAUGGAUGUUGAAAAGACUACUUUUUCAUUAAUUGACUUUGUACCUUUGUUGAAAAUCAGUUGAUUAGGUAUGUGUGGGUCUACUCUAGACAUUCUGUUUUGUUCUCUUGAUUUAUGUGUCUGUCUUUGGUACUACCACAUUGUAUUCAUUAUUAUGGCUUUAUAGAAAGUCUUGAAAUCAGGUUGUGUGAGUCCUCCAACUUUAUUCCUUUUCAAAAUUGUUGUGGCUGUUUUAGUUACUUUUCCUUUUUGUAUAAAUUUUAGAAUCAACUUGUUGGUUUCUAUAAAAUCUACUGAGAUUUUAACUGGGAUUAUAAAUUUUGAGUGAUUUGACAUCUUCACAGUAUUGUUUCAGUCCAUGAAUAAUGGUAUAUCUCUCCAUUUAUUUAUUUUUUUAUUGGUGUUUCUACUUUUUAGCAUACAGAUCUUGUAUGUAUUUUGAUAAAUUUAUACAUAUUUCAUGUUUUUGGUAGUUCUGUAUUUUAAAUUUUGGUUUCCCAUUGUUCAUUGUCAGUAUAUAUAAAUACAUUUGAUUUUUAAAAAACCUUUAAUAAAGACUUAAAUUCUC